GGGAAGGUGGCUCAGUGGUAGAGUGCUUGCCUUGCAUGCAUGAGGCCGUGCGUUCCAUUCCU
rnacentral:tRNA from 1 species